rnacentral:rRNA from 1 species
AUGAAUCGAAACAUGAUUCAACCAUCAAGAGUGAACAUAGAAGGAAUUGUUAAGAGUUGUCGGGUCCAUGAUAUCAUGCGUGAUGUAAUGGUUUCGAUUUCUAGAGAUGAAAACUUUGUGCACCUGGUACGAGAUAGUGAAGCCAGUAUAAUAGAGGGGAAUUACCGACAUGUAGCAUACCAUGGUAGCAAGUGCCAAAAUAUUGGCAUGGAUUGCAGCCAUGUUCGGUCACUAACGAUGUUUGGUGAGAGACCCACAGAUACCUCAAUUUCAGUUUGUUCAACCAACAUGAGGAUGCUUAGAGCCUUGGAUCUAAAGAAUACACUAUUUCCAAUUAGACAAAUAGAUAUCAACAACAUUGGGUUGUUGUGCCAUUUGAAAUAUGUGAAUUUACAGGGAAUGUCAAGUAUAUAUGCACUUCCAAAGUCUAUAAGGAAAUUAAGAGGGUUGCAGAACUUGGAUAUUAGAGAAAGUUAUAUUACAGCACUACCAACUGAGAUCAGUGAACUCCAUAGUCUCUGA